rnacentral:misc_RNA from 1 species
GAAUUCAGCGGGACGGCAAUGGGUUAGUCGUCAUGACUAAUUCGGCGCAUAACCGGUCGCCUCUGCAGCGUAAGCUACAUUGGGGACUUUUCCGUGAGGAGGGAUCUUGGGGAACCAAGACCAUAUGGUUGUUGUCAUCAGAAAUCAACCAGGUUACGUAAGUUACCUGGUAUGGGAAGGCAACUGUAAGUUCCGUUUGACUUGUGCUAAUUAGUAUAAGGUCUGUUGAGUGCAAUCGAAGGACAAGUCUUAUAGAUUUGAA